GACGAACGCUGGCGGCGUGCUUAACACAUGCAAGUCGAGCGGUAAGGCCCUUUCGGGGGUACACGAGCGGCGAACGGGUGAGUAACACGUGGGUGACCUGCCCUUAGCUCUGGGAUAAGCCUGGGAAACUGGGUCUAAUACCGGAUAUGACUCCAUGACGCAUGUUGUGGGGUGGAAAGCCUUGUGCGGCUAGGGAUGGGCCUGCGGCCUAUCAGCUUGUUGGUGGGGUGANGGCCUACCAAGGCGACGACGGGUAGCCGGCCUGAGAGGGCGACCGGCCACACUGGGACUGAGACACGGCCCAGACUCCUACGGGAGGCAGCAGUGGGGAAUCUUGCGCAAUGGGCGAAAGCCUGACGCAGCGACGCCGCGUGGGGAUGACGGCCUGG
rnacentral:rRNA from 1 species